AGAGGAGCUCCCGGUCAGGGAUAUGGGGUCCGCCCUAAGUCACUCCGCCAGGCCCAGCCCACCAACUCCCAACCCCAUUGUUGGCCUCGGCGGCCAACAGGGCCCUGGACUGUCAGCACCGUCAGGAGAAGUUUUGCAAGAAGACCCUUGUGAGCGGAGGACACACAGACACCUGAGAGCAGAACACAACCUGACAUCUCUGUCCUGAAGCCCAGAGAGACUUGCCUGCCUUGCCAGCAUCCUCCUCCCCUCCCCAUCACCUCAUCAAAUGGAAGAAACUGU